rnacentral:rRNA from 1 species
GGCCGAACAAGGUUUCCGUAGGUGAACCUGCGGAAGGAUCAUUACCGAGUGAGGGCCCUCUGGGUCCAACCUCCCACCCGUGUUUAUUUUACCUUGUUGCUUCGGCGGGCCCGCCUUAACUGGCCGCCGGGGGGCUUACGCCCCCGGGCCCGCGCCCGCCGAAGACACCCUCGAACUCUGUCUGAAGAUUGUAGUCUGAGUGAAAAUAUAAAUUAUUUAAAACUUUCAACAACGGAUCUCUUGGUUCCGGCAUCGAUGAAGAACGCAGCGAAAUGCGAUACGUAAUGUGAAUUGCAAAUUCAGUGAAUCAUCGAGUCUUUGAACGCACAUUGCGCCCCCUGGUAUUCCGGGGGGCAUGCCUGUCCGAGCGUCAUUGCUGCCCUCAAGCACGGCUUGUGUGUUGGGCCCCGUCCUCCGAUCCCGGGGGACGGGCCCGAAAGGCAGCGGCGGCACCGCGUCCGGUCCUCGAGCGUAUGGGGCUUUGUCACCCGCUCUGUAGGCCCGGCCGGCGCUUGCCGAUCAACCCAAAUUUUUAUCCAGGUGACCUCGGAUCA